CAUUGAAAUAACGGCUCCCGUACGAUCGCCAAAGUUAAGCAACCUCGAGAUCUGGUCAGUACUUAGAUGGGUGACUUGGGAAUACCAGGUGCUGA